rnacentral:piRNA from 1 species
UGAAGCAUCCUAACAUCCGAGAUUGAGC